rnacentral:rRNA from 1 species
GAUGAACGCUGGCGGCGUGCCUAAUACAUGCAAGUCGAGCGAACGGACGAGAAGCUUGCUUCUCUGUUGUUAGCGGCGGACGGGUGAGUAACACGUGGAUACCCUACCUAUAAGACUGGGAUAACUUCGGGAAACCGGCGCUAAUCCCGUAUAAUAUUUUUAACCGCAUGGUUCAGAAGUGAAAGUCGGUCUUGCUGUCACUUAUAGCUGGAUCCCCGCUGCAUUAGCUAGUUGGUAAGGUAACGGCUUACCAAGGCAACGAGGCAUAGCCGACCGGAGAGGGGGAUAGGCCACACGGGAACUGAGACACGGUCCAGACGCCUACGGGAGGCAGCAGUAGGGAACCGGCCGCAAUGGGCGAAAGCAUGACGGAGCAACGGCGAGUGAGAGAUGAAGGUGUUCGGAGCGGAAAACUCGGUUAUUAGGGAAGAACAUAUGUGUAAGGAACUGUGCACAUCGUGACGGUACCUAAUCAGAAAGCCACGGCUAACUACGUG